UACGAGGGGGGCAAGCGUUGUUCGGAAUUAUUGGGCGUAAAGGGUGCGUAGGCGGCGCGGUAUGUCUCUUGUGAAAUCUCCAGGCUCAACUUGGAGUCUGCAAGGGAAACUGCCGGGCUUGAGUAUGGGAGAGGUGAGUGGAAUUUCCGGUGUAGCGGUGAAAUGCGUAGAUAUCGGAAGGAACACCUGUGGCGAAAGCGGCUCACUGGACCAUAACUGACGCUGAGGCACGAAAGCUAGGGGAGCAAACAGG
rnacentral:rRNA from 1 species